UUGACCUCGGAUCAGGUAGGGAUACCCGCUGAACUUAAGCAUAUCAAUAAGCGGAGGAAAAGAAACCAACAGGGAUUGCCCUAGUAACGGCGAGUGAAGCGGCAACAGCUCAAAUUUGAAAUCUGGCGUCUUUGGCGUCCGAGUUGUAAUUUGCAGAGGGCGCUUUGGCAUCGGCAGCGGUCCAAGUUCCUUGGAACAGGACGUCACAGAGGGUGAGAAUCCCGUACGUGAUCGCUAGCCUUUACCGUGUAAAGCCCCUUCGACGAGUCGAGUUGUUUGGGAAUGCAGCUCUAAAUGGGAGGUAAAUUUCUUCUAAAGCUAAAUACUGGCCAGAGACCGAUAGCGCACAAGUAGAGUGAUCGAAAGAUGAAAAGCACUUUGGAAAGAGAGUUAAAAAGCACGUGAAAUUGUUGAAAGGGAAGCGCUUGCAGCCAGACUUGCCUGUAGUUGCUCAUCCGGGUUUCUACCCGGUGCACUCUUCUAUAGGCAGGCCAGCAUCAGUUUGGGCGGUUGGAUAAAGGUCUCUGUCAUGUACCUCUCUUCGGGGAGAACUUAUAGGGGAGACGACAUGCAACCAGCCCGGACUGAGGUCCGCGC
rnacentral:rRNA from 1 species